UGGCUGAAUUCCCGGAGGGUCGCGCCGCUGCGCAGACUGCGGGGGGGGAGUCUCUCUACCGGCAACGGGAUAGAACGAGUCCGGCGCAGCGGCGGACAGCCGCGCUGGGGUCCUUGCGUCAGGACCCGGGGGCGGGGCUGGCGGUUCGCGUCCUCGGCCGGGAGGCGGAGACCGGAAGCAAGAGGCGGCGGACGCGUGCGUGCGGUCGGGUCCCCGGUACCCGCGGGAGCCGCGGCCGCGGACCGUGCGCCGCAAGCGCGAGGUACAGACCAGCCCGAGAAGGGUCUGCGGGAACCUACAAGGGGUGAUGUCUCGAGGAGGUUUGGAGUGGGCAGACGUGGAGUCUAAAGCUGUUCCUACCCAACUCCGACCCACGCUGUGGUGUUUGCGCCCGUCCUGCUCCUCGUGGCUUCGUAGCGUCUGCUCUGGGGCUGCCCAGAUGACCGGCGUAUGUGGACCGAGAAGAGAUACCGACUUCGUGUAAGAAGCUGGUCUUCCUGCUCAGCCAGACCUCCGAUUUUCAAAUUUAGCAUAAAAAUAUUUUAACAUGCAGAAAAAAAAAAAAAAAAGAGUGACACGUUAGAUUCCAAAAAUUAAGGUUGACACGGUCGCUUCAUCUACUCUUUUCUUUUUCUUUGCUGAAUUAGACAACCUGUUUCACUCCUGUUUUAUAAUGCAUCCCAUUUUUAGUAGACUUAACAUACCAAGUUGGCUACAUUAAGAGAGGUUGUUCACACUCAGCACUGGCAGGUAUUUGGGUAAGAGGCGCUUAAACAGUGGAUUGAAGAGGGAGAAUUACUGCUCAUUUAAAAUUUUUUAAAAAUUAAAAUUAAAAAAUUUUUUAAAAAUCA